rnacentral:rRNA from 1 species
AGAGUUUGAUUCUGGCUCAGGAUGAACGCUAGCUACAGGCUUAACACAUGCAAGUCGAGGGGCAGCAUGGUCUUAGCUUGCUAAGGCCGAUGGCGACCGGCGCACGGGUGAGUAACGCGUAUCCAACCUGCCUUACACUCUUGGACAGCCUUCUGAAAGGGAGAUUAAUACAAGAUGUUAUCAUGAGUAAGCAUUUUCACAUGAUUAAAGGUUUACCGGUGUAAGAUGGGGAUGCGUUCCAUUAGAUAGUAGGCGGGGUAACGGCCCACCUAGUCUUCGAUGGAUAGGGGUUCUGAGAGGAAGGUCCCCCACAUUGGAACUGAGACACGGUCCAAACUCCUACGGGAGGCAGCAGUGAGGAAUAUUGGUCAAUGGACGAGAGUCUGAACCAGCCAAGUAGCGUGAAGGAUGAAGGUUCUAUGGAUUGUAAACUUCUUUUAUACGGGAAUAAACGAAUCCACGUGUGGAUUUUUGCAUGUACCGUAUGAAUAAGGAUCGGCUAACUCCGUGCCAACAGCCGCGGUAAUA